rnacentral:rRNA from 1 species
AUUGAACGCUGGCGGCAUGCUUUACACAUGCAAGUCGAACGGUAACAGGUUAAGCUGACGAGUGGCGAACGGGUGAGUAAUGCAUCGGAACGUGCCCGAUCGUGGGGGGUAACGCAGCGAAAGCUGUGCUAAUACCGCAUACGAUCUAUGGAUGAAAGCGGGGGACCGUAAGGCCUCGCGCGAUUGGAGCGGCCGAUGUCAGAUUAGGUAGUUGGUGGGGUAAAGGCCCACCAAGCCAACGAUCUGUAGCUGGUCUGAGAGGACGACCAGCCACACUGGGACUGAGACACGGCCCAGACUCCUACGGGAGGCAGCAGUGGGGAAUUUUGGACAAUGGGCGCAAGCCUGAUCCAGCAAUGCCGCGUGCAGGAAGAAGGCCCUCGGGUUGUAAACUGCUUUUGUACGGAACGAAACGGUCUGGGUUAAUACCUCGGGCUAAUGACGGUACCGUAAGAAUAAGCACCGGCUAACUACGUGCCAGCAGCCGCCGUAAUAC